rnacentral:snoRNA from 1 species
GGCAUUUGUGUGUGUUUGUUUAACUUGUGGACACUUAUAGAUCAACGCUCAUAUAAAUCCUCUUCUGCAACCAAGAAGUCAUUGUUCAGUAUAAGUUUUGGCACACUGAAAAGGAAUGU